rnacentral:misc_RNA from 1 species
CAACCAUCAGGCCCCCGGGCUUGUGUUGGGGACCUGCGGCUGCCCGCAGGCCCUGAAAGACAGUGGCGGUCCCGCUGUAGCACCGAGCGUAGUAACUUAAAAAACACCUCGCUAAGGCUGCUCCGGCGGGCUUCCGGCCGUAAAACCCCCCAAUCUUUUUUGCAAG